rnacentral:rRNA from 6 species
UUACCACGGUGUGGCCGAUGACUGGGGUGAAGUCGUAACAAGGUAGCCGUAGGGGAACCUGCGGCUGGAUCACCUCCUUAAC